rnacentral:rRNA from 1 species
GAUGAACGCUGGCGGCGUGCCUAAUACAUGCAAGUCGAGCGAACGGACGAGAAGCUUGCUCCUCUGAUGUUAGCGGCGGACGGGUGAGUAACACGUGGAUAACCUACCUAUAAGACUGGGAUAACUUCGGGAAACCGGAGCUAAUACCGGAUGAUAUUUUGAACCGCAUGGUUCAAAAGUGAAAGACGGUCUUGCUGUCACUUAUAGAUGGAUCCGCGCUGCAUUAGCUAGUUGGUAAGGUAACGGCUUACCAAGGCAACGAUGCAUAGCCGACCUGAGAGGGUGAUCGGCCACACUGGAACUGAGACACGGUCCAGACUCCUACGGGAGGCAGCAGUAGGGAAUCUUCCGCAAUGGGAGAAAGCCUGACGGAGCAACGACGCGUGAGUGAUGAAGGUCUUCGGAUCGUAAAAAUCUGUUAUUAGGGAAGAACAUAUGUGUAAGUAACUGUGCACAUCUUGACGGUACCUAAUCAGAAAGCCACGGCUAACUACGUG